UUACAUCCUUCCUUCAUCCAUCGUAAGAUAACCCAAAACUUGAAAACUUCAAUCACACAAAACUCAACAAAACCUUCGUGAGAUUCGUUAGUAAAAGAAAGCAAACCACUACUAUAAGUGUUGUAUCAAACCAACUCAUAUUUUGUUUUUGUAUUAUAUCUACUGCAUUCCAACUUUUCUAUGGCAAAAACUCAUCAAAGAAAACCAUAGAGCCAUCAAAAUAAGCACACAACACAAAGAAACCAGAAUCUGUCGAAACAGAACAGUCUGUAGUAAUCUGGAACUUUCGAAUACUUCUGGAACUCCAAAAAUUCUACCAAAUUAGGAAGACCAGGGUAAUUUGUAUAUUAAUCUUCUGCAAAAAGAAUCGGGGCAAAAUAUCUUUUAUGUGAUUUAUGAAAAUUAUUUUCGUGAGCGCAAAGUUUCUGUCUUUUUCAGCAAGAUUAAACAACUAUUACACAAGAAGAUCCUAAAGGCUUUACUUGGUACAAACACUAAUUAAAACACAAAAAACACAAUCAUAACAGUAGCAUAAUUUUCUUAACACUCAAGAACAGAAAGCAAAAAAUAAAUUCUAUUCAUUGGGUUGCCUCCCAACAAGCGCUAUAGUUUUACGCCCUUAGCUAGGCGUAAGGCAAGGAUCUAAGUUUUGUCAUCUUUGUCCAACUCUUCAAUCAAACACUUAGAAUCCCUCAAAGAUUUAUCAUAAAGAUUUUCAAUAACAACACUCCUAGGAAUAAAUUCAAAGAUUUCAUUCUUGCAAAAAGGAUCUCUUAUCACUUCAAGAAAAUCAGGGUGGAUACUAAUCAUCUUAAGAUCUCCUUUAUUGCUAUCACUAGAAAUUGCAACCUUGUUUCUGGGUCUCCUACUCUUUACGGGAGUUUCCUCAAUAAUUUUAGUGGUAGUAAAAGCCGUGCUUAGAUUACUAAAGAUUUCUUCCAAUUUAACGAUUCGAGACAGACUUUCUUCUAUUCUUUCACGGAUUAAGGUACCCCUCUCUUUUAACAACUUAAAAAUAUCAUCCACUUUUGACCCAAGAUUAGUAGCAAAAUUAUGCAUCUUUUUAUGUAUAAUUUCCAUAUGAUCCUCAGUGAGCAUUUUCUUUUCGACAGCAUCUAGUCUUUCCAUAACAUGCUCAAGAGUCAAAAUUGUUUCAUUAACCAUAAGAGGUGGUGAGCCCACUUCCCAUAGCAUUAAGAGCAUCAAAAGGAGGACUCAUUAAGAAGUUUCCACCGGUAAUCGUAUCAAGGACGAAUCUAUACCAAGUGGUGAUGCCAACAUAAAAACAACGCAAAAGCACAAUGGUAGAUUGCUUACGGAUAGAUCUAUUAUGAGCAUUGUAAAUUCUAUACCAAGCAUCUUUUAAACUUUCUACUCCCCUUUGUUUAAAGUUGAGAACCUCGUUCUCGGGAGUGCAAGCAAUAGAGGAGGAAUUAUCCAUAAUGACAAACAAGAUCUCACACACAAAAACAGAACCGGCAAGAAAACGGCGAACAGAAAAAGAGAGGCGAAUAAAACGGCAAUUUUUUGUGAAGUAGGGGAGAGGAAAACGAGAUGCAAAUGGUGAAUAAUGUAAAUUGCAAGGUGAUGAGAUUUGUGAUUAGGAACCUGGUUAUGCUGAAGAUCCUCCCCGGCAACGGCGCCAGAAAUUCUCCUUGAUGGCAGCUGCAACUACGUCGGCAUUUCCCUGGAGAGGGAGGGAUGAUGUAGCACAGAAACGGUAGGUAUUUCCCUCAGUUAUGAACCAAGGUAUCGAACUAGUAGGAGAACCAAGCAACACAACGUAAACAGCACCUGCACACAAACAACAACACCUCGCAACCCGACGAGUUAAAGGGGUUGUCAAUCCCUUCCGCGGUACGGCGCCUCAAGAUAGGCAAGCGGACGUGAGGUAAAUUGUAAUAGAUUGAUAGAUCGAAUGCCAAAUAAAAUAAAUAAGAUAAAAUGAAGCAAGGUAUUUUUGUAUUUUUUUGGUUUAAUAGAUCUGAAUAAAAGUGCAAAAGAAAAGUAGAUCGCAAGGCAAAUAUAUGAGAAAGAAGACCCGGGGGCCGUAGGUUUAACUAGUGGCUUCUCUCGAGAAAAAUAGCAAACGAUGGGUAAACAAAUUACUGUUGGGAAAUUGAUAGAACUUCAAAUAAUUAUGACGAUAUCCAGGCAAUGAUCAUUACAUAGGCAUCACGUCCAAGAUUAGUAGACCGACUCCUGCCUGCAGCUACUACUAUUACUCCACACAUCGACCGCUAUCCAGCAUGCAUCUAGUGUAUUAGGUUCAUGGAAAAAUGGAGUAAUGCAAUAAGAACGAUGACAUGAUGUAGACAAGAUCCGUCUAUCUAUAUGGCGGUAGAUAUAGAUCUCGUCUUUUUAUCCUUAGUAGCAACGAUACAUAUAUGUCGGUUCCCUUUCUGUCACUGGGAUUGAGCACCGUAAGAUUGAACCCACUACCGAGCACCUCUUCCCAUUGCAAGAUAAAUAUAUCAAGUUAGCCAAACAAAACCCAAAUACCGGAGAAGAAAUACGAGGCUAUAAGAGAUCAUGCAUAUGAGAGAUCAAAGAAACUCAAAUAACUUUCAUGAAUAUAAAAAGGUAUGACUGAUCAUAAACUCGAAGUUCAUCGGAUCCCAACAAACACACCGCAAAAGAGUUACAUCAUAUGGAUCUCCAAGAGACCAUUGUAUUGAGAAUUCAGCGAGAGCGAGAGAAGGCCAUCUUGCUACUAACUGCGGACCGAAGGUCUACAAAGAACUACUCACGCACAAUCGGAGAGGCACCAAUGGAAGUGGUGAACCCCUCCGUGAUGGUGUCAAGAUUGGAUCAGGUGGUUCUGGACUCUGCGGCGGCUGGAUGAAUAUUACGUCGAUGCUUCUAGGGUUCUGGUAUUUUUGGGGUAUUUAUAGAGCAAAGAGGCGGUCCGGGGGGCACCCGAGGUGGGCACAACCCACUAGGGCACGCCAGGGCCUCCUGGCGCGCCCUGGUGGGUUGUCCCCUCCUCGGGACUCCCCCCAGGUGCAACCAGGGCCCAUGUGCUUCCUUCUGGCCCAUAAAAAAUCAUCGUGGAGUUUCGUGGCAUUUGGACUCCGUUUGAUAUUGAUUUCCUGCGAUGUAAAAAACAUGGAAAAACAGCAAGUGUCACUUGGCACUAUGUCAAUAAGUUAGUACCAAAAAAUGAUAUAAAAUGACUAUAAAAUAAUUAUAAAACGUCCAAGAUUGAUAAUAAAACAGCAUGGAACAAUCAAAAAUUAUAGAUACGUUGGAGGCGUACCAGUAUCCCCAAGCUUAACUCCUACUCGUCCUCGAGUAGGUAAGUGAUAAAAACAGAAUUUUUGAUGUGGAGUGCUGUUCAUCAAGUCAUAUCAUAUUCUUUUCUUUAUAGCAUGGACAUUUGGACUUUUAUGUGAUUCAAAGCAAUAGUCUAGUUUUGACAUAAUAAUUUAGAUACUCAAGCAUAUCAACAAGCAACCAUGUCUUUCAAAAUAUCAAUGCUAAAGCAAGUUAUCCCUAACCCAUCAUGCUCAAACAUUGAUCCAUUCAUAAAACACACUCGAAUAUUAACUACACCCAAUACUUGAGCACGAUCAUAUGGCCUCCUAGUUGGUGCUUUUGUAAGAGAAGAUGGAGACUCAAAUUUCAAAAAUAACAAUUGCAUAAAGUAAAAGAAAGGCCCUUCGCAGAGGGAAGUAGGGAUUUGUAGAGGUGCCAGAGCUCAAAGCAAAAAAUUAGAGAUAAAAACAUUUUGGGAGGUGUAUCCAUCCCACCAACGAAAACGACUCAGAGUUCCGAACACUUUCCAUGCUAAAUAUGCCAUAGGCGGUUCCCAAACAAAAAAUAAAGUUUAUUCCUUUUUCCACCAUUACUUUCACUUUCCAUGGCUAGCCGUAUCAACGGUUGCCCUCCAUACCAACACUUUCCAAGGAAUUUAUUAUUUGACAAUAUAAAGUAAAUUCAUUUUUGCAUUUCGGGACAGGGUAUCCCUAAAACCUUUGCCUUACUCUCGUACAAUGAUAAGUGAAUAAACACUCAUCUUGAGAAUAACACAUCUAGCAUGGAAAAUAUUAGCCACCCAUUACCGUUCCGCGAGCGAAACAAACACACAAAAGAGAAGUUCAUUUUGAAAAUUAGAGAUCACACAUGCAAAUUUGCUUAGAACGGCAAAAAAAUACCGCAUAUAGGUAGAUAUAGUGGACUCAUGUGGCAAAACUGGUUUAAAGGAUUUUGGAUGCACAAGUAGAGAUCAUACUUGGUGCAAAAUGAAGGAUAGCAAAAAGAUUGAGAAGCGACCAACCAAGAAACAAAUAAUCUCAUAAGAAAGCAUUAAGCAUAAUUAACACCGAAUAAUGCACCAUGAGUAGGAUAUAAUUUUCAUUGCAUGAUUAUUGACUUUCUUGCAUGCAUAGGGAAUCACAAACCUUAACACCAAUAUUCUUACUAGAACACAAUUACUCAUCAACAUAACUCACAUAUCACAUCAUCAUAUCUCAAAACUAUUACUAAGAAUCAAGUUUAUUUUGUCCAAUGAUCUUCAUGACAUUUUCUUUUUCUUUAUCCUUCUUGGAUAUCUAUCACUGUGGGACUAAGUUUCAUGUGUUGCAUUUCAUAAGCUCAAACAAAUAUAAGUGAAGAUCAUGAGCAUAACAUAUUUUCUUUCUCUCAAAAUAAUUUAAGUGAAGCAAGAGAGAAUUUCUUCAAGAUUUUACUAACUCUCAAAUAAAUCUAAGUGAAGCAAGAGAGAAUUUCUUCAAAAAUACUAAGCACACCGUGCUCAAAAAGAUAUAAGUGAAGCACUAGAGCAAGUCUAGCUCAUAAAAAUUUAAGUGAAGCAUAGAGAGCAAUCUUAACAAAUCAUGACAUAAUUUUGGCUCUCUCAAAUAGGUGUGUACAGCAUGGAUUGAUGACUUAAAAUACAAAAAAAAAACAAGCAAAGACACAUAUCAUACAAGACGCUCCAAGCAAAACACAUAUCAUGUGACGAAUAAAAAUAUAGCCUCGAGUAAAAUACCGAUAGUUGUUGGAAGAAAGCGGGGAUGCCACUCGGGGGCAUCCCCAAGCUUAGUUGGUUGCUCAUUCUUUGGAUAAUAGCUUGGGAUGCCGGGGCAUCCCCAAGCUUAGGCUCUUACAUCCUUCCUUCAUCCAUCGUAAGAUAACCCAAAACUUGAAAACUUCAAUCACACAAAACUCAACAAAACCUUCGUGAGAUUCGUUAGUAAAAGAAAGCAAACCACUACUAUAAGUGUUGUAUCAAACCAACUCAUAUUUUGUUUUUGUAUUAUAUCUACUGUAUUCCAACUUUUCUAUGGCAAAAACUCAUCAAAGAAAAC
rnacentral:lncRNA from 1 species